GAUGAACGCUGGCGGCGUGCCUAAUACAUGCAAGUCGAGCGAACGGACGAGAAGCUUGCUUCUCUGAUGUUAGCGGCGGACGGGUGAGUAACACGUGGAUAACCUACCUAUAAGACUGGGAUAACUUCGGGAAACCGGAGCUAAUACCGGAUAAUAUUUUGAACCGCAUGGUUCAAAAGUGAAAGACGGUCUUGCUGUCACUUAUUGAUGGAUCCGCGCUGCAUUAGCUAGUUGGUAAGGUAACGGCUUACCAAGGCAACGAUGCAUAGCCGACCUGAGAGGGUGAUCGGCCACACUGGAACUGAGACACGGUCCAGACUCCUACGGGAGGCAGCAGUAGGGAAUCUUCCGCAAUGGGCGAAAGCCUGACGGAGCAACGCCGCGUGAGUGAUGAAGGUCUUCGGAUCGUAAAACUCUGUUAUUAGGGAAGAACAUAUGUGUAAGUAACUGUGCACAUCUUGACGGUACCUAAUCAGAAAGCCACGGCUAACUACGUGCCAGCAGCCGCGGUAAUACGUAGGUGGCAAGCGUUAUCCGGAAUUAUUGGGCGUAAAGCGCGCGUAGGCGGUUUUUUAAGUCUGAUGUGAAAGCCCACGGCUCAACCGUGGAGGGUCAUUGGAAACUGGAAAACUUGAGUGCAGAAGAGGAAAGUGGAAUUCCAUGUGUAGCGGUGAAAUGCGCAGAGAUAUGGAGGAACACCAGUGGCGAAGGCGACUUUCUGGUCUGUAACUGACGCUGAUGUGCGAAAGCGUGGGGAUCAAACAGGAUUAGAUACCCUGGUAGUCCACGCCGUAAACGAUGAGUGCUAAGUGUUAGGGGGUUUCCGCCCCUUAGUGCUGCAGCUAACGCAUUAAGCACUCCGCCUGGGGAGUACGACCGCAAGGUUGAAACUCAAAGGAAUUGACGGGGACCCGCACAAGCGGUGGAGCAUGUGGUUUAAUUCGAAGCAACGCGAAGAACCUUACCAAAUCUUGACAUCCUUUGACAACUCUAGAGAUAGAGCCUUCCCCUUCGGGGGACAAAGUGACAGGUGGUGCAUGGUUGUCGUCAGCUCGUGUCGUGAGAUGUUGGGUUAAGUCCCGCAACGAGCGCAACCCUUAAGCUUAGUUGCCAUCAUUAAGUUGGGCACUCUAAGUUGACUGCCGGUGACAAACCGGAGGAAGGUGGGGAUGACGUCAAAUCAUCAUGCCCCUUAUGAUUUGGGCUACACACGUGCUACAAUGGACAAUACAAAGGGCAGCGAAACCGCGAGGUCAAGCAAAUCCCAUAAAGUUGUUCUCAGUUCGGAUUGUAGUCUGCAACUCGACUACAUGAAGCUGGAAUCGCUAGUAAUCGUAGAUCAGCAUGCUACGGUGAAUACGUUCCCGGGUCU
rnacentral:rRNA from 1 species